GCAGUAGCCGCGGUAACACGAAGGGGGCUAGCGUUGUUCGGAUUUACUGGGCGUAAAGCGCACGUAGGCGGAUCGAUCAGUCAGGGGUGAAAUCCCAGAGCUCAACUCUGGAACUGCCUUUGAUACUGUCGAUCUGGAGUAUGGAAGAGGUGAGUGGAAUUCCGAGUGUAGAGGUGAAAUUCGUAGAUAUUCGGAGGAACACCAGUGGCGAAGGCGGCUCACUGGUCCAUUACUGACGCUGAGGUGCGAAAGCGUGGGGAGCAAACAGGAUUAGAGACCCGCGUAGUCCCUGUCUCUUAUAC
rnacentral:rRNA from 1 species